AGUGAACGCUGGCGGUAGGCCUAACACAUGCAAGUCGAACGGCAGCACAGAGGAGCUUGCUCCUUGGGUGGCGAGUGGCGGACGGGUGAGGAAUACAUCGGAAUCUACUCUGUCGUGGGGGAUAACGUAGGGAAACUUACGCUAAUACCGCAUACGACCUACGGGUGAAAGCAGGGGAUCUUCGGACCUUGCGCGAUUGAAUGAGCCGAUGUCGGAUUAGCUAGUUGGCGGGGUAAAGGCCCACCAAGGCGACGAUCCGUAGCUGGUCUGAGAGGAUGAUCAGACACACUGGAACUGAGACACGGUCCAGACUCCUACGGGAGGCAGCAGUGGGGAAUAUUGGACAAUGGGCGCAAGCCUGAUCCAGCCAUACCGCGUGGGUGAAGAAGGCCUUCGGGUUGUAAAGCCCUUUUGUUGGGAAAGAAAUCCAGCCGGCUAAUACCUGGUUGGGAUGACGGUACCCAAAGAAUAAGCACCGGCUAACUUCGUGCCAGCCGCCGCGGUAA
rnacentral:rRNA from 1 species